AAUAAUAGAUAGAAAAAUUAAUAGAUCCAUCGAUCCUCAAAACAAUUGUUUGUUACAGCUCUAAAUUCAAGAAAUUAAUUAUUUCUUUAUUUAUUUCUUUGACAUGUGCGUUGGCUCUUUUGCCUCAGGCUCGAGGCUUGUGCCCAGCCAACAUCAAAGUUUCAAGCUUUAUUUUCUAGUUUCAAUUGAUCUAUUACUUUCAUUUGGAUGAUAAAAAAAUUACAGAGUAUUUUAAGUCGAUUUUGCUGCUAUUUGAAGAAAAUCCAUCAAAACCCGCUGGCACGUUUGCCGGCCCUAGAGAGUUAAAGAUCAAAAGUUUCAUCUCAUCGAGCAGUCUCAUCUGGUCUAAUUACUGUGCUGAGCUACAGAAUGUUGUUCCAUGCGCCACCUGGUGGAUAUUGUAUGACCCUAACCACAGCACAGCAAACUUAUUUAAAUUGAUCCAUUAUCACACGUGAUAGAUUGUGUGCUGCUAUGUGAAAAAAGUGCAUUCUUAAAGGCCACAUCUGUAUACACACACGUUGGGUAAUUUUUUGGGGGGUCUUUCCAUAGACAUAAUGUUUUUAUACUGUACAAAUGAUAUAUUCUAUCUCCUACCCCUACACAUAACCCUAACAGAAAUCUUUUUGCAUUUUUACAUUAAAAAAAACAAACAAACAAAAAAAAACAUAAUUUAGUAUUAUUAAGCUGUCUUUGUCAUGAGUGGGAGAUGUUGUAACAUUGCAAAAUACUGUUUUACAAAACUUGCUUCUUGCUACUUCAGGUUCUUCAAAAAACAACUUGCCAUGAUUUACUGACAUAUUCUUCAGUAGCAGUAGCCAGUAAGAAUGUUGAUGAAACUAUGCAAACAUGUUUCUCAAGUCACUAUGCAAAUUACUUUUGUUCUCAGAAGCAUAUAAAAGAAACUUGCACAUUAGCUCAGUGUAGUAUCCCAACUAUCCACAAAAGUAAAGCAGUCUGGCUAUUGACAAGGCAUAUUCUGUGGCAACUUCACUACAAAUCACUGAUCCAAAAAAUCCAAAAAAUACAAAGUACAAAAUUCCAAAUGCAGGAGACAUACAAAACUUCCUCAUGGCUGCAGAUGCUUUCCUAAAUGCUUUCAGCUUGCUGGAGGCAUUUAUCAAACAAAACUUGCAGAAGUUUCCUGGUCUCUCCAGCUUUCCAGUGAAAGAAGACGACAUUGACAAACUCGGAAAGCAGAUAGAGAUUGUGAAGGCUCAAAAAGUUAUUAGCUGAUCUAAUGUGGUUCUAACUGUUCCUGAAUUUGUUUUUGUUUGUUUUUUUUUCUGAUUUUUUCCCCGAUUUUUUUCCAUCUGUAAGUCAAGACGGUGACUUUAGCUGUCAACUUUAUAUGCAUCUUUAGCAGCAUGAAAACAAAUCUGUUAUUCAAAUUGUGAACUAAUUAUUUUCAGAAAGAAAGCAAAGAACACUUUUAUAAUGUAAUAAUGAAAGUAUUUGUAGAAAAGUGCAGUUGUGACACAAACUUGUGUCUUGUCCCAUACAGAAAUGCUUUUUUAUGUUCAUUGGAGUGUCACUUAUGGCCUUAUAUUAGAUAUAUUCAAGAAUAAAGCCAAUAGAGACGGUCCAGUGGAUGGUAAUAGUAUAUGCUGGGAUUCAAUAUGGGCUAAUAUCAAACAAGUCUCUAAAAACCCCAAAUCAUCAACUGAUUCACUUCAAAAUGAUUCACAGGAUGUAUCUCACUCCCAGGAAACAUCAUUUAAUGAAGCUUUCCACCUCUCCUACAUGUAACUUUUGCUCAAAUGGGAACAUAGGUACAUGUAUACACACGUUUUGGGACUGCCUGGAAGUCAAUGAUUUUUGGAAACAGGUUUCCACAACACUGGAGGACAUUUUUGAACUUGAGAUGAUUCAUCUUACACUCUCUAACUCAGAAAAAGGUGUUUUUUUUUUGUUUUGUGGAAUUACUGCAGCUAAAAAUGCUUGCCUUAUGCUGGAAACCUCAUUCUCUUGCAUGGACUCACUGGAUGCACUCUUUCUUACAUAUUGCUGGCAUGCAGCUCUCAGUGGCAAGGUUACAUGGAGCAUCUCAGAGAACUCUCUCAGCAUGGCUGGAUGCUAUUGCCAAAAUUAAGGAGCGGUUGUAAAUCUGUGUCUUCUGUUCUCACUUUGUAUGUAAUUUUUUUUUCUUUCUCCUAUGUGUAACUUUUUGUUUGUUGUUGUACUUACUGU